rnacentral:misc_RNA from 1 species
AACUGAUACUACCUGCGGGAACCUGCGGAAGGAUCAUUAUCGAGUUUACAACUCCCAAACCAUUGUGAAUCUUACCUUUUCGUUGCUUCGGCGGGAUCGCCCCGGGCGCUUCGGUGCCCCGGAUUCAGGCGCCCGCCGGGGGACCUAAACUCUUGUAUUAUAGUGGAUUUCUGAGUGGAUUACACAAAUAAUCAAAACUUUUAACAACGGAUCUCU